UGUCUGUCCUUAUCAGUUGCACUAGGGCUUGGUUAUGUGAAGUUUUUCCCUACCAACCUCUAGCCAAAGUAGCUGCGUGUGCGUUGUAGUUCCUGUGUCCACGACAGUUUUAGCUCCCCUCCUCAGCCACUAGAUCGAUCUGCCCUUGUUCAUCACAGCCAACUCAUAUGUCUGGUGACCACAACAGCAAUCCUUCAACCUCACCAUGGCCAGGGUUCGUGGAGAUUGUCUCGGCCGUGUUGUGCCCGUUCCUUGUUCCUCACAGAACUCCUACCAGAAGGAGUGAAGAUUCAAGCUAAAGUGGUGACUGAAGAGGAAUCUACUCCAGUAGCUGCUUAUCAAGUGGAGGAGCCAUCUAACUGGGGUUUAAUAGAGGGAUCGAGUACCUCUUCACUGCAAUAAGGCAAGCCCCGGUGCAUUUACCACUUCCUUGUGUUUUUAAAAGAUUUUUAUACACUUUAAGUCUAAUGAAAUAUGCAUUAAGUUUAUAGGAGUUGCUUGAAAACUAUUGGAUGCAUUGCCUACCUUGA